rnacentral:rRNA from 1 species
AUUGAACGCUGGCGGCAUGCCUUACACAUGCAAGUCGAACGGUAACAGGUCUUCGGAUGCUGACGAGUGGCGAACGGGUGAGUAAUACAUCGGAACGUGCCCGAUCGUGGGGGAUAACGAAGCGAAAGCUUUGCUAAUACCGCAUAAGAUCUACGGAUGAAAGCAGGGGACCGCAAGGCCUUGCGCGAACGGAGCGGCCGAUGGCAGAUUAGGGAGUUGGUGGGAUAAAAGCUUACCAAGCCGACGAUCUGUAGCUGGUCUGAGAGGACGACCAGCCACAAUGGGACUGAGACACGGCCCAGACUCCUACGGGAGGCAGCAGUGGGGAAUUUUGGACAAUGGGCGAAAGCCUGAUCCAGCCAUGCCGCGUGCAGGAUGAAGGCCUUCGGGUUGUAAACUGCUUUUGUACGGAACGAAAAGACUCUGGUUAAUACCUGGGGUCCAUGACGGUACCGUAAGAAUAAGCACCGGCUAACUACGUGCCAGCAGCCGCAGUAAUAC